GCUGAAGAUGCCAAACUCAAAGAGCUUGUUGCCCAAUACGGUCCUCAAAACUGGAAUUUGAUUGCUGAGAAUCUUGAAGGAAGAUCAGGGAAGAGCUGUAGAUUAAGGUGGUUUAAUCAGCUGGAUCCAAGAAUAAACAGGAGGUCUUUCACUGAGGAAGAAGAGGAGAGGCUCUUCGCUGCUCAUAGAUUGUAUGGUAACAAAUGGGCUAUGAUUGCUCGGCUUUUCCCUGGCAGGACUGAUAAUGCAGUGAAGAACCAUUGGCAUGUGAUCAUGGCUAGGAGACAUAGAGAACAAUCCAGCAUUUACAGGAGGAGGAAGCCCUCUUCUUCCUCACAAAUCGCCCCACCCAUCAAGGGACUUGAUGUUAAUUUGCAAAACAAUGCUUGCAGUGAUUCAACAACCAUAUCUAGCACCAUUGAUGAAUCUGCCUCAACAUGCACUGAUCUCUCCCUUAGUCCUUCAACCAAAGCACCUCCUAACCUUUUCACUAGGUUCAGUCCCCUGNNNNNNNNNNNAUUUGCUGAGAAGGAAGUGAAAAUGGGAAAUUUGGAUUUUGACCAGUUCUAUUUCAGUAGGGGCAAAGGAUUCUAUCAAACUGGGUCUAUGGGAGUGGUUAUGGGGCAGGACCAGCCUGGUCAGUCAGAUUCAAACUCGGAUGUGUCUGCAACUGAGUCAGUUGGCACAACCGUGAUCGGUGACAAUGAAAAUGGGAAUGGGAAAAUCAAUAUGACCUUUAUUGACUUCCUCGGGGUAGGAGCUACAUAAGAUGUGUUCAUUUUGGUAUAAAAUUAGAGAAAACCAGGUGAUCAUAACAAAGAGGAAAAAAAGAAAAAGAAGAGAAGUGGAUCUCAGGUCUCAGCCUCAUUUGCUACAGACUACAGUGUCUCAUAUACAGUUAGUUCCAUAUGUAGUAAAAGAGAACAAGAGUAAAAAUAGGUAAAUAGGAGGGGAAGCUGUAGUAGCAGCAGCAGCUACCCUGUUUGUUUAAAAAAUAAUCCUUUAAAAAAAGAAGAAAAAGAAAACCCUCUUAGUUUUGGACUUCUGUAGCAAAAAAACAUCAGGGCUAAGUCCUUCUCUAUGAUAUUCAUUGCAUUUUGUACGAGCAAGAGAGGCAAAAGCCAAAGCCAACAUUUGAUGUGUCAUUUUUCUUGAAUCUCUUAUGGACCAGUGAAUACUGACUGAAACGUGAAUGAACCUGCCGCCCAUCUUUCAUGACUUUUCAAUUUGGCUGUGCAGAACUGUGUUGUGUGCAUGUCUUGUUUGAUUGGUUUUCUCUCUACUUUAAGUCAUCAUCACUCCCCAUCUCAUGUUUCACACGCACUUGCAAAAAUUUGAAAUAUCC
rnacentral:misc_RNA from 1 species